CAUGUAGCCCACAGUAGGUAGUUGUUUCUGCUUGGUGGAUGAGUUUGUGAGUGAAGAUUGUCACACUGGGAUCCAGGCCCUGGAGGUCAUAGGUCAUAGAAGCACAUCUUAGGCCACUGUUUCCCAAGACAGCCUGGUCUUGCUGUCAUAGGAACAAACUUCUUUCUAGCGAAGUUUUGCUUGUCAUAGGAACAGAUUUUCCUCCUUGGAGCAGGGAAUGGAUUUAGGCUCUGGCCACACUGUCCCAACUCCACCAUUAUGGAAAGCCUAGGCUAAGGAUUGCUUCCUUGUCCUUACGUAAAGGAUUGCAAGGCACUUGCUAUCAUCUUUGGGCCAAGAACUGUGCUCCAUAAACUCCUGAAGCUAAGAGUCUGUGAAGGAAGCAGUGUGCUUUUUACCUCAAGAGAAAAAAAAAAAAUAUGGAGAGAAAUCUUGGUUUUUGGGUCACUUUUGUGUCACCAGCGCUUCAUUUGCUAAGGUGGGAUAGGGUACUGAUAUACUGACGUAGAUGGGAAAGAUAGUUGAUCAAACUGGUUUGAUCAGAGGAAAUUGUAAGAAAUGAUGGUAAAUGUUGCUUGGAAAGCUACUUAAGAAAGACAUACAGAGACACAUCUUUGGCUAAUGCACUGCUUUUCUUCCCACUAGUGCUUUAUGCAAUUAAAAUUUAAAGCCCACAGUAUUGAAAGAGAAGAAAAUGGUAGGCAUGCCUUCUUUCUUAUGAGAACCAAAGUCCUCUGAGAUCACAUCCGUGCUGAAGACCCUGCAGACAGAGUGGGAUUUAGGAAUACAACACAGAGAGAUGGUAGUUAGCAGGUCAGAGUCAAAAUUGCCCUGAGCUCUUGUUAGUCCCCCUUAGUAGCCAUUUUCCACCAACCCCUGACCCAAUAUCUUUGUGAGUGCCAGGUAAACCUUUUAAAAUGUUUUGUUAUUUUUAGCAGACCAUUUUUCUCUCAUCUUAAAGCUAAGAACAUUGCAAGAUACAAUCGGAAUCCUAUAGAAGACAUCCCUGCUCUGCUGGACCCACCCAAUGUCUCCAUCAGUGCACUUGUUACUAGAAGCUUGAGUCACUACCUGCGCAGAGGAACAACCUCAAUCCCAGCUCUCAGGCCACCGUCACAGAGGUGUGGUUUUCAUGGAUGACUUACAAUGUUGGUAUCUCCAAUAUCCUAGGAUCAUCAUUGCAACUUAGGCCUCACCUUCAAGCUUCACGGAGUACCUUAUCAAGACAUUGCAUCCUUGCAGGGAAUGUGACCCUUAACAAAUAUUGUUUGGCCUCAGGUUUUUUUCUAGAACCUUCAUGCAAGCCUCCACAGACCUCUCAUUGCAUCUUGUAUGCCUGCUAAGAGAGUGCCAUAUGGCUGAUACUACCAAGUUUCUAGACCAUGGGAUAGUACCAUCCACUUUUAGGGUGGUUUGUUCUCCAUCAGUUAAACUCCACUGGAAAUACCUCACAGACUCAUUCAGAGGUGUGUCUCCUGGGUGAUUCUAAAUCCAGUCAAAUUGAAAAUAAGAUUAACCUUCAAGCCCAAUUGUGUAUGUUGUUGGAACAGGUUACACUGAUUUGUUUAUCAGCUGUCAACUUUGUUUUUUGUUGUUGUUGUUUUUUAUUCUAUAACAUCAGAGCUGAGUAGUGACACAAAGUAUCUGGCUGCAAAUCUAAAAUAUUUAGUCGAUAUCUUACCCUUUAAGAGAAAUUGCCAACUUUUGUGCUGGAUCACAAAAUAGCCUCCACAUAUUUUAAAAUCAGGAUGGAGAUAUGGCUCAUGGAUUAAGAUCACUAGUUGGUCUUGAAGGGGACCUGAGUUCAACUCCCGACACCCCCAUGGUAGUUCACAACCAUCCCUAACUCUAGUCCCAGCAAGUACAGUGCCUUCUCUGACUGCUGUGGACACCAGGCAUGCACCACGCACAGGAUGCACAUGCAGACAUAUAACCCCCUGAACCCCCGCAAACUAUACCCAUUAUAUAAAAUAAAUAAAUCUAAAAAAUAAGAGCAAAUUAUUUUAGAGUAGUCUUUAUACAAGAAGAAUUACCUUAGAAACCAACACAAAUAUAUGGGAAAUAUAAAAUAUUUAGUAUAGUUUGAAAAUUAAGCAACUCAUUUCUAGAUAGGCCACGUAUCAAAGAUUACAAGUGAGAACUGAAAAUUUUUAUUAACUAAAUGACAAAAGUACAAUAUAAAAUGUUAUGAAAUAGCUUAAGUAAUCAAUAGAUAAGAUGAAAGUAAUCAGUACAUAAAAAUGAAAGACUAAAUAUUUUUUGCUCAAUUUUGGGUCUAAGGAAAGGCUAUCCAUUCUUGCAACACACAUUAAUUAUUUUGCUGAAAAUACUAACCAUAGAAAUAUGGCAAGAAAGAUAAGUUAAAGGUGUGAUUAGAAAGGAAAAAAUGAAAAUAUCUGAAUUAUAGAUGUUAUAAAAAUUUACAAACACAUUUUAGCAGAACUAAAUAAAUUUUAUACCAUUACAGGAUGUAACUUUAUUAUACAAAAAAAAUUUGAUUAUACCUACUAAAAUAAAAAUAAAAAAGAAACCAAGAGAGGUGACCUUCAUUCGUAGCAAUUGUUAGGCUUCCUGCUUGGAUAGAAAGGUGUCCUGGAAUUCAUAAGCCCAGGAGUCACCCAGCUCUGAGGUGGGACAGUGUCCCAUGGAAGGGCAUCCUGAGACAUGGAGCCCAGGAACCACUCAGCUCUGAGAGGAAGCAGCCUCAGCAGAGGUGUUGUAGCUCCCAGGGGAGGGGACCCCCAGCUGAGCUGAGGAGCUCAGGAGCCUCAGGCCUGCUCUGCUUCUUCGGGUCUUCAUUGCUGCUUGGCUUCUUCCGAUGAGAGAGCAAACAAAUCUCAUGAAAGAGACUGACUUAUCAGGAGGGUCCAAGGUGUGGAGGGAUGUCUCGAGGGUUGGCUGCCUCUGCUUCCCAAAGUGGACAUCAGAGAAUUAAACAAAGGACAGGGCUCAUCUAGGGUUUCUUACGGGGGAGGAGUUUUUCCAGGGGUUUUCCUGCUCAGGGAUUGGUGGCUUUUUCACCCCACCCAGACCCCCUUUCACUGCAUCAGGGUUAGGACAGGAAGUCCUUCCUGGAUGCAGACAGCUUUGCUGAGGUGCCAUCCUUGCUCAGCUGCUUGAGGAGGCUGGAGAGCAGUUGCCAUCACCGUGGACAGCUCCUGCGGGCUGAACCUCCUGGUAGCUGCAGGCUGAGCCAGCAAAGGAGCUGUGUUUGACAGUUCCUGCUAUGUGCCACUCAGGGAUCCAGCAAUAAUAACCAGAACAAAAUUCUUAGCUAGACACAAAUAACAGAUGUGUAAAACACAAACACUAAAGGCUACAAGGCCAUGAAGAAAAUCUCAAAGCAUACAUAAAGUCUAAGGUUUAAAAAUGGGAUUAGGCUAGGACCACCUAGCUCCAUAAUUAAACAAAGUAAGACAAGCACUGUAGUACAUCCAUAAUGCCCACACCUGGGAGGCAGAGGAAGGAGAUACUGAGUCCGAGGGCAACCUGGAUCACAUAGCCAGAUCCUAUCUAAACAUAAAUCAACUCUUCACCCGGAAGAUAAAACAAAACAAAACAAAACAAACAAACAAACAAAAAACAACCAAACAAAAAAAUCCCAAACGUGUUUUCUUAGAAUACACUGAAUGUCACAGUAUGUAAUUGUUGCUUCAAUAAAGGUGUUUUUAAAAGACUAGACUUUCUUCUUCUUUCUGUUUCUAAAUUGAUUAUUUGGGAAUCUCACAUCACAAACCUUAAUCUUGAUCACUUCCCAGUCCUCUCAUGUCUACCUCCUCCCCCAUGUCCUCUCUCCCAAGCCUCCUC
rnacentral:lncRNA from 1 species